GACGAACGCUGGCGGCGUGCCUAAUACAUGCAAGUAGGACGCAGUUGCGAACGGGUGAGUAACGCGUAGGUAACUGCCUCUUAGAGGGGGGUAACUAUUGGAAACGAUAGCUAAUACCGCAUACUAGUAGAUGGACCUGCGUUGUAUUAGCUAGUAGGUAGGGGAAUGGCCUACCUAGGCGACGAUACAUAGCCGAGCUGGGAGGGGGAUAGGACACACUGGGACCGUGACACGGCCCAGACUCUCACGGGAGGCAGAAGUAGGGGAUCUUUGGCAAUGGGGGGAACCCUGACCAAGCAACGCCGCGUGAGUGAAGAAGGUUUUCGGAUCGUAAAGCUCCUUUGUUAAGGAAGCGGUACCUAACCAGAAAGGGACGGCUAACUACGUGCCAGCCGCCGCGGUAAUUC
rnacentral:rRNA from 1 species